rnacentral:lncRNA from 1 species
GAGAGCCUGGGCAGGUUUUCUAUUCUCCUGAGUGGAACCAUCAGACUUUUCUUGAGGGAUUGGCCCUCUAGUGAAGAGCAUGGAGUGGACUGGGCCAGGGAAAGAUCCUCAGAUAAUCCUUACAUACUAGAAUGAGGUGAAGCCAGAAAGGAAGAGUCAUAAUCAAAGAAGAGAGUGAUCAAGAAUCCAAAAUAGACAGAGAGAGCAGGCUCUUAGAGAAAUGGGAGAACUACCGCACUGACUCUGCACGUAGGAGACAGGCAGGAGAGGAGCGCCCCAGCCAGAGCUCAACAUGCGCAAACAGGAAGUGUGUCCGAGGUUUUCUGGAGCUCACAGGAGCCGGGGACCCACAGCCAGACGUUUAUCUGAAAGAAAAGCAGACAAGACAAACUAAAUCAGCAACCAUCCCUUUGGAUGCCAGCUGACCUCGGAUGGAGAUUUAGUGCUAGAUGUAAAAGGCUUUGUUUACAGACAAUUAAAAACCACAUAAAUUUAAAUUGUCAAAGAAGAAAUGGUUUCCAAAGCUUCUAACAGCCUGGUAGCCCCUCCUCAGCCCUGUGCAGGAAAGGCCCAGAGGCAAAUACAAAGCCACCAACCCAAAUGCCUGUGGAGUUUGCCAGAAAGCCAGAUCCUGCUGCUUCUGCUGCUUGUUACUGAUGUUGAAAAAUAAAAUCUUAUACAGCUUCAAAUGUAGGUUCUUUGAGUGCUAAUCAAACAGCAAGAAGGCAACAGAUGACCACGGAGGAGGUGGCUGCACGAAAGUACGCCACAAAGUAUGGAAUUACUGCAAGUAGGCCUUUCGGCAAUCAAUGUGUCUGAACCUUUUGUGUGCUCUCCAUUUUUUCCCACCGAAGGAACUAGAUGCAAAGAUUAAAAAGUG